UACGUAGGGUGCAAGCGUUGUCCGGAAUUAUUGGGCGUAAUGAGCUCGUAGGCGGUUUGUCGCGUCUGCUGUGAAAAUCCAGGGCUUAACCCUGGACCUGCAGUGGGUACGGGCAGACUGGAGUGCGGUAGGGGAGAUCGGAAUUCCUGGUGUAGCGGUGAAAUGCGCAGAUAUCAGGAGGAACACCGGUGGCGAAGGCGGAUCUCUGGGCCGUAACUGACGCUGAGGAGCGAAAGCAUGGGGAGCGAACAGG
rnacentral:rRNA from 1 species